UACGUAGGGUCCGAGCGUUGUCCGGAAUUAUUGGGCGUAAAGAGCUCGUAGGCGGUUCGUCGCGUCGAAUGUGAAAACCCGGGGCUCAACUCCGGGCCUGCAUUCGAUACGGGCGGACUAGAGUUCGGUAGGGGAGACUGGAAUUCCUGGUGUAGCGGUGAAAUGCGCAGAUAUCAGGAGGAACACCGGUGGCGAAGGCGGGUCUCUGGGCCGAUACUGACGCUGAGGAGCGAAAGCGUGGGGAGCGAACAGG
rnacentral:rRNA from 1 species